GCCCUGGUGGAGGAGGACAGCCUGGGCGAGGGCCUGGAGGACAUCCUCCUGGCCCUGGUGGAGGAGGACAGCCUGGGCCUGGUGGAGGAGGAGGACAUCCUCCUGGCCCUGGCGGCGGAAAAUAGCCUGAGGGACACUGGUUUCCUGGUCAAGCAAAACAGGUGUGGUCAUCAUUUUCACUCUCAGCUUACAGACACUUAAUGUCAGUUUUCAGUCCUUAAAUUUCUUUGAUGAAAGUUUGACAAAAAUGAUAAGGUCCUAGCAGACGUGUGAAAGAGCAGUUACAGGAUGUGAUUCACUUACCUCUGCCUUGGCCAAACAUUUCGAAACUUUAGAUCCAAACCCUGAAACUGAAAGAGCCCAAUAAACACAAA